ACUAUACCUUCACAUCUCGGGCCAAAAGACAAGCUAUGACUGUGCUAUCUACGUAAUGAAGUGGCUUGAGAUAUUUGAGCCCGCAAACAUUAAAAGGCAGAAAUAUGAGUGGGACAAUUGGACCCAGGACGAGGUGGACCACUUUAGAGUAUAAUAUGCUUCCCGGAUUCUAUUCCAUG